ACGGAGCUUAGAGAGCCUGCUUUUUAAGCUUAGUGGCGAACGGGUGAGUAACGCGUGAGUAACCUGCCCUAGAGUGGGGGACAACAGUUGGAAACGACUGCUAAUACCGCAUAAGCCCACGGUAUCGCAUGAUACUGAGGGAAAAGGAUUUAUUCGCUUUAGGAUGGACUCGCGUCCAAUUAGCUAGUUGGUGAGGUAACGGCCCACCAAGGCGACGAUUGGUAGCCGGACUGAGAGGUUGAACGGCCACAUUGGGACUGAGACACGGCCCAGACUCCUACGGGAGGCAGCAGUGGGGAUAUUGCACAAUGGGGGAAACCCUGAUGCAGCGACGCCGCGUGGAGGAAGAAGGUUUUCGGAUUGUAAACUCCUGUCGUUAGGGACGAUAAUGACGGUACCUAACAAGAAAGCACCGGCUAACUACGUGCCAGCAGCCGCGGUAAAACGUAGGGUGCAAGCGUUGUCCGGAAUUGCUGGGUGUAAAGGGAGCGCAGGCGGGAAGACAAGUUGGAAGUGAAAACCAUGGGCUCAACCCAUGAAUUGCUUUCAAAACUGUUUUUCUUGAGUAGUGCAGAGGUAGAUGGAAUUCCCGGUGUAGCGGUGGAAUGCGUAGAUAUCGGGAGGAACACCAGUGGCGAAGGCGGUCUACUGGGCACCAACUGACGCUGAGGCUCGAAAGCAUGGGUAGCAAACAGGAUUAGAUAC
rnacentral:rRNA from 1 species